GAAUUUGAAGAGUGUUGCACAAAAUUUGCAAAAGCAUUCUCUCUUGCUGGUUCAUCCGAUGUUGAGGUUUAUGAUCUUAUUUUUGAAUUGAAGAUUAUGAGAUUCACUUUGCCAGAUGGUGUAAUGUCUGCUAUGUUGAUUUUCGGGCAUGUGAGAGUUGAUUCUUAUCCGACUAUAUCCAUUGCUUAUCACAUUUUACUUACUGUUCCUAUGGCGGCUGCAUCGGUUGAAAGAAGCUUUUCAAAAUUGAAAUUGUUGAAGAAUUAUUUCAGAACAACUAUGACUCCAGAGAUGUUAAAUGGUUUGGCUACAUUAUGCAUCGAGAAGAAAUUAUUGGAUGAGAUUCACAUCGACCCCAUCAUAAGUGACCUUGCAUCGAGGAAUGUUAGAAGAAAAUCCGAAGGUAAUAUGUAUAAAUUAUUGGGUUUGUCUAGGACACAUCUAGAUGUGACAUAA
rnacentral:rRNA from 1 species